rnacentral:rRNA from 1 species
AGAGCGAACGCUGGCGGCAGGCCUAACACAUGCAAGUCGAGCGCCCGUAGCAAUACGGGAGCGGCAGACGGGAUAGUAACACGUGGGAACGCGCCCUUCGGUUCGGAAUAACUCAGGGAAACUUGAGCUAAUACCGGAUACGCCCUUACGGGGAAAGAUUUAUUGCCGAAGGAACGGCCCGCGUCCGAUUAGCUAGUUGGUGAGGUAAUGGCUCACCAAGGCUCCGAUCGGUAGCUGGUCUGAGAGGAUGACCAGCAUCACUGGGACUGAGACACGGCCCAGACUCCUACGGGAGGCAGCAGUGGGGAAUAUUGGACAAUGGGCGCAAGCCUGAUCCAGCCAUGCCGCGUGGAUGAUGAAGGCCUUAGGGUUGUAAAGUCCUUUUAACGGGGAAGAUAAUGACGGUACCCGUAGAAUAAGCCCGGCUAACUUCGCGCCAGCAGCCGC